GUUCUGAUCAAUUCAACCUCACGCACCGCGCUCCUACAGAGCCAACCACGGUUAAGAAAGCUGCCCUCCCUGAUGGAAACUCCACCCGAGGAUUUGUCAGGUCUGAUGGAUGUCAGAAGUCUUAUAUCUAUCCUCAGUACAAUACAUUCAAAAGGAGUUUUUCCAUUCGAUUAAAACCAGGCUGGAGAACAAGAACUCGGUUUUGCCAAACGAAUGUCAAGGUGUCUUUUUGAACUCUUCCCCAGCGCUUGCACUGAGGUACAGCCGUGAAUGCUCAGGCCUUAUGCUAUGAACUAAAUCUUCUUCAGUCAUCCCAGUGAAGUCCCUACUCUUGUUUUGAAGCCAGCGAGAAGAUGAAAUGUGGAGGAGACAUGGAGAUCUGGUCUCAAAACCAUCUGGGAUUCCCCACCCCCGCAUCAUUCUGGGUAUGUAAGAACAAAGGGCAAAAUGUCUUUGCAAGAACUAUAUUCCUUGCUU